rnacentral:rRNA from 1 species
AACGAACGCUGGCGGCGCGCCUAACACAUGCAAGUCGAACGAGAAUCCGGGGCAACCCGGUAGUAAAGUGGCAAACGGGUGAGGAAUACAUGGGUAACCUACCCUUGAGAAGGGAAUAACCCGCCGAAAGGUGAGCUAAUACCCUAUACGCCUAUCUUUUUUUCGAAAAGGAUAGGAAAGCCGGGUCGAGGGACCUGGUACUCAAGGAGGGGCUCAUGUCCUAUCAGCUUGUUGGUGGGGUAACGGCCUACCAAGGCUACGACGGGUAGCUGGUCUGACGAGGAUGAUCAGCCACACUGGCACUGAGAUACGGGCCAGACUCCUACGGGAGGCAGCAGUGACGGAAUAUUGCGCAAUGGGCGAAAGCCUGACGCAGCGACGCCGCGUGGGGGACUGAAGGGUUUUCGGAUUGUAAACCCCUUUCAUGAGGAAGAUAAAGUGGGUAACCACUUAGACGGUACCUCAGAGAAGCCACGGCUAACUCGUG